AUUUAAACUAUGAAAACCCGGCAAACAAUGCGAGGGUUGGUGAGGUACCUCUCGCUCUAAUUUCUCUAGUCUAGUCUAGUUGCCUCGCUUCCUCCUAUAGCGAUUCUGUCGAGCUGAGCUUUCACGUCCCUCACCACUGGUCUCCUUCCUACCCCUCGCCUAAGAUCGUCUGACGUCUUGCCUGACACCUUUCGUUGUGUUGGUGCUAUGCGGCUGCUGUCACUGUAGAAGUUAGGUUGUGUGUGUAAAAAAACGUAAACAGUGUUGUUGGAUGAUCAAGUGCGGUAAGUUUUUUAAUAAUUAUGUUCUUAAUUUUACGUAAGUAAGUGCCAUUUUAGCAAAAGUAAGUAGUUGAAGUCCUCCCCAAUGCGUGCUGGCUCCGUCGGAAGCGGUACGUGCAUGUACCGGCAUAGAAAAGUUGUGUGGUGGACAACACAGCACAAGACAGCGGAUAUAAUGCAGAAAUGAUAUGGGCCUGCCGCAGGUGUUUGCCACUGUACGAUGCAUUGUAUAUGAUUCGGUAUGUUCGCCAAUUUUCCUCUAUCCUGGAACGUGGGCUUACGAGGAACCAUUUAAGAACAUCCUCCGGAAGCUGUACGGCGACGAGUCGGGCUCUACCAGCACAACACGCUAGAGACCCAGCCGGCACCGGGUGCCCCGAUUGCGCCGUCAGACGGUGUCGAGCGCGCUCGUUCACAAUGUUCGGGGCAGGAAUUCAACCCUUGGGAUCUGUAUUAUCCGCUGCCCCACAAUAGCUGCAGCAGCAACAGGACCGAACCGACCGCACUACGGAUUGCGGUCAAAUUUUCUGGCAGGAGAAAAACCCCACGAGUGUAUCGAUUUCAUCGACGGCCGCUCGCUGACGGCACCAACAUGCCACUGAAUAAACCCGGAAAGACGACAAGCACUCAUCUCCAGCGGCAAAUUGUUAACAUCAAUCCUCUUCCGCACAUCUACACGACAUCAUGAUAAUAGUAUUAUUGUGUAAAUUGUCAAAAAAAUUACGUUAAUGAGUUAAGAUUAAUCUUAAGUGCGCUUUAAG